CGUAGGGUCCAAGCGUUAUCCGGAUCACUGGGCGUAAAGCGUUUGUAGGCGGAAGUUUAAGUGAGAUGCGAAAUCUUGUGGCUCAACCACAUAGACGGUAUCUCAUACUGGGCUUCUAGAAUAUAGCAGAGGCAAGUGGAAUUAGUAGUGUAGCGGUAAAAUGCGUAGAUAUUACUAGGAACACCAAUGGCGUAGGCAGCUUACUGGGCUAUUAUUGACGCUGAGAAACGAAAGCGUGGGGAGCGAACAGGAUUAGAUACCCUGGUAGUCCACGCCGUAAACGAUGUGUGCUAUUAGUUCGAGGUAUCGACCCCUUGGGCUGAACAGCUAACGCGUUAAGCACACCGCCUGGGGAGUACGAGCGCAAGCUUA
rnacentral:rRNA from 1 species